ACUAGCGGGAGGGGGCCGGGCUAGCGGGCUACUGGGCUGCGGAGACCAGAGCCCGGCUCCACUGAAGAAACCCGCCGGCUGCUGGGGCAGGGCGGCGAAAGGUCAGUCGGCCGAGAGGAGUCCGUGGAGCCACCGUUUCAUAGCCUCAGGGAAAGGAUCGGGCGUGCUCACGAGCCCUCUAACCCAUGGCUUAAACACCCGCUUCCUAAGCCUGGGUUCUUAUGCCUUUGUUUGAAAAACAUGGUUCCCUGUGAAAUUUUACAUGUAGAAGAAAGCUUCACACUACGAGAGCUCUCAGGAUAUAAUUAUUUCAGACAGAUACUGGGAACAUAAGAUGGCUUAUCAAUCUAAGAUGGCCUUCCUGUCCUUCGGAUUGAACUGAAACCAUCCCUGAUUCCAGGGAUAGGUAGAUGAUCCAGGUUUGGACAAUCAAAAUAUUGAACCACCCUGGACCUACAAGUGUUUCUGGGAUGGGAACAUGCAAACGUUGGUCCAAAUUGUUGUUCUAGGCAGCCCAGUACAUUUCUCCAAUGCCUGAUGGAAUGAUAGGGUAUGCAUAAAUGUUCAUGUGGGCUCUGGAGUAUACCAGGAACUGAAGUAAGGUACAUGGACGUCUUGAAUAUUGUAACUGAGAUGGGCAAGCCUACACCUUUGCAAAUAAAGGAGGAUUGGGAAAGAUUAAGAUCCUGUUAAACGUCAGUGUUACUAUUUAGCCUUUGAUAUCUCCAGUAAAGGCAACUUCUUUCUGGACCCAGAAAUAAAGCUUUACAUUAGCAGCUUCCAUAACACCAAUAACAUGAAUGACCAUCUACUGAGCAAUUGCAGUGCACCAGGAUUAUGGCUUAUGAGCACUUUAUGUUUAUUAUCUCACAACUCACUGAGUUAGAUACUCUCCACAACCCAGUGAGCCUCUCAAGCACUGUGAAAAAUCACUUUCUCUUGUUGUAUUCUUGGAGCCCCUGCUAAUUCAUUAUUGAAAAAUACCUGCUGCCUGCAUUUGGCCUUAUGUUGUCAUUUACUUGGUACUUCCUAAGCGUGGCUACUCCAAUGAAGCUUUAGUAUAUGUACUGAAAGAAGAUCCUCUCAUACUGCCACAGCCAAGAGAUAAGGUUGUAAAUCUUUAUUGGGAGAAGCCGUCAAGGACAGUUCUGUGAAAUGAAAGGAUCUCUGGAUCACCACAAAGUCUGGCUCAGUGACUAUGGCUUUGCAAACACUAAACAUUCCUGUCUCAAGUCCUGUAGAUGGCUUGAAAUAGUAUACAUAAGCAUGCCUUAUAAACAUCUUCAGUCUUUAUCAACUCUUUGGAGAUUCAGCCAUUCUUUUUUGUACUUUAGGGAAUUAAAUCAUUUUAUAAUGUAUAAAUCUGAGCAUGGCCGAUGGCAGAAGAAAUUUUGUCAUACGUUUUUAAAGAAAUAAAAAUGUAUUAUGUUUUAAA
rnacentral:lncRNA from 1 species